CUAACUAAAUCGGUCAAAAAUUGCAAAUUAAAGUAUUAUAUGUUUUUAUUUUUUUUCUAAACUAAUUAAAAUAAAAAAAACAUAUUAGCACUAUUUUUCUAAAAUAACGCGUCGCAUUUGAAAUGGCGAUGAAGCUAAUAACCUCUUAAAAAACCAUAAAAUAAAAAACAAUAUACAUAACACUAGGAAAUGGCAUAUGCCGUUUCUAAAUGUUGAGAAGAUGAAGCUAGUGACCUCUUAACAAGUCGAUGACGGUGUAGAAACGAUGAAAUGAAUCAAUAGCCGGAGAUGAGAGCAAGAACAAGCAACUCCAAAUGAAGAACAGAGCAAAAGAGUGAAGAUCGAUGGGCUCGGCCACGGGA
rnacentral:lncRNA from 1 species